rnacentral:rRNA from 1 species
AGCGAACGCUGGCGGCAGGCCUAACACAUGCAAGUCGAACGAAGUCUUCGGGCUUAGUGGCGGACGGGUGAGUAACACGUGGGAACGUGCCUUUAGGUUCGGAAUAACUCAGGGAAACUUGUGCUAAUACCGAAUGUGCCCUUCGGGGGAGAGAUUUAUCGCCUUUAGAGCGGCCCGCGUCUGAUUAGCUAGUUGGUGAGGUAAAGGCUCACCAAGGCGACGAUCAGUAGCUGGUCUGAGAGGAUGAUCAGCCACAUUGGGACUGAGACACGGCCCAAACUCCUACGGGAGGCAGCAGUGGGGAAUCUUGCGCAAUGGGCGAAAGCCUGACGCAGCCAUGCCGCGUGAAUGAUGAAGGUCUUAGGAUUGUAAAAUUCUUUCACCGGUGAAGAUAAUGACUGUAGCCGGAGAAGAAGCCCCGGCUAACUUCGUGCCAGCCGCCGCGGUAAUAC